UAACCUUGCGGCCGUACUCCCCAGGCGGUCUACUUAAUGCGUUAGCUUGAGAGCCCAGUGUUCAAGACACCCAACUCCGAGUAGACAUCGUUUACAGCGUGGACUACCAGGGUAUCUAAUCCUGUUUGCUCCCCACGCUUUCGUGCCUGAGCGUCAGUCUUUGUCCAGGGGGCCGCCUUCGCCACCGGUGUUCCUCCCCAUCUCUACGCAUUUCACCGCUACACCUGGAAUUCUACCCCCCUCUACAGGACUCUAGUUCGCCAGUUCGAAAUGCAAUUCCCAGGUUGAGCCCGGGGCUUUCACAUCUCGCUUAACAAACCGCCUGCGCACGCUUUACGCCCAGUAAUUCCGAUUAACGCUCGGACCCUCCGUAUUACCGCGGCUGCUGGCACGGAGUUAGCCGGUCCUUCUUCUGUAGGUAACGUCACAGCAAUAACGUAUUAAGUUAUUACCUUUCCUCCCUACUGAAAGUGCUUUACAACCCGAAGGCCUUCUUCACACACGCGGCAUGGCUGCAUCAGGGUUGCCCCCAUUGUGCAAUAUUCCCCA
rnacentral:rRNA from 1 species